UUUCUCUCUACCUGCAAAUUAAUCAAUACCCACCCAUUUCUGUUGCCACACAGCUGUCCUCUUCCACUGAAAACCACCAAUGACAGCAAAUCUGCCUCCACCGAUUUGGCGCCCGCGGCUAGCAUGUUCUACAUUUCCUCUUGGCACGGGUUUCGUUGAUCGCGUCCUCUCCAUCCUUUCCUCCACUCGGUUGUUGCCGAUUAACAUUGGUGUCAAAUUGUGUUACUGGUUUGUGAAUUUGUUGUUGGGUAAAGCAACGUAAUUUGCAUCGAAAUGGAGGACCCCUUUAUCCAUCAGUUUCUGUUUCACAUGGGUUUGAGAGCUGUAAAUGGAGGACCAUGGAAUGCCCAUUUAAACAUGCCUAUGGGUAGGAACUUUCCUAGUGAACGCUUGCUACUAGUGAAUGAGAUGCUUGGUUCUAUUGAUGAAAAUGAGCCGCUUCAGG